AAGUGGUUAAAGAGACUUUGUUGUAACAGAAAGUUCACAUGUUAAAGCUCCUCAUUAUGAGCUGCUCUGGAUAAGAGCAUCAGCUAAACAGCUGAGAUGUAAAUGUUGAGAGUUCCUCAACAGAUGAUGAAGAGGAAGGGCCAAUGAUGUGAAGGCCCAGAUCCAUCAGAGUAUCAAUGUUCUUCCUCUCUCUCCUCCCCUCUCACUGCAGACAUGAACCACUGGCUGAGAAACAUCCUGAUUCUGACUCUCUGGCUAGAGUGUAAAGGAGAAGACAGAGUGACCCAGCCAGCAGGAGAUGUCAUUGCUGCUGAAGGAGACACAGUUACACUUGGCUGUACUUUUGAAACAGCUACAUAUUCCUAUUUGUUCUGGUACAAACAAGAAGAAAAUGAUUACCCAAAGUUUAUGCUGCAACUGUACUCUGGAACACAGGAUACCCCUUUAGAGGAAGAAAGAAUUUUUGCCAAAAUCAACAAGACAUCAGUUCCUCUGAAGAUCCAGAAGCUUCAGCUGUCUGACUCUGCUGUGUACUACUGUGCUCUGCGGCCCACAGUGACAGGAAACACCAAAACUCUGUACAAAAGUAUGUGA